GUUUGGGGUUUUUUGUGGCUCAGGAUUUAAGAGUAAGGACGGCGUGCCCGAGAUGGUCAAAGCCUACCUGAACAAGAAGAUAAAGCUGGAUGAGUUCAUCACUCACAACAUGACUUUGGCCCAGGUCAACGACGCCAUUGAACUGAUGAAGCAAGGCAAAUGCAUCCGGACAGUUCUGAGUGUUUCUCCACAAUAAGGUCAUCGUGUUGCUUUCAUUGAUGGUUCAGCUCAGCUCCAAGAUCAUUGAAACUAUGCCAAAUCAGCCUUGCAGUGUCCCCUUCCUCGACAAUAGUGACAGAUGUUUCUCUGGUCCCCCUGUGCCUGACUCCACACAGACCUAUCCGUUCUGUCCUUACCAGAUUCUGGAGCUCGAAAGUCAUAAUCCCCCUGAUGAGUUAACACAUAAUCAUCUGCGAGGGCUGCCGCUUCUUCCGCUGUCUUCUCUCUGUGUUCACUAAUAUAGACAGAAAUGUGUGGAGGAACUGAGUCCUUGAACUGCUCCAGAAUAAUUAACUCACACAGAGCGUCAAAUGUGCGAACAUUUAGUGAAGAACACCACCGAUGGAAAUGUGUACUUAACUCCCUUGCAAACUCCAUGUGAGUCUGGUGACCAGACUUCUCCCAUGACCUGAACCUCUGUAGGCCUCGGGCACUAAUUCAUAUGCCUUGAGAACAGCGACUUUGACUGAAGUGUAAACCCUGCUGUCUGCAACACCGAGAGCACAGUACGCCUCCUGAGCCUUACCUGUAAGAACACACUGAAGGAGUAACGUCCUCUCAGUGUCAGACCAGCCUCUGGUCUCAGCCACUCUCUCAAACAGGGAAAAAAAACGUGUCAGGAUCACGUUCACAAAACGGAGGGACCAAACGCAAAUUCGUGGAAACAUCAAAUGAAUGUGGAGGACCAGACGAACCUGCAAGAGUCUGACCCACUCAGACUCAGUCUGCGCUCCUCCAGCUCCAGUCUUUUCAGCUCGACUUGUAGCAACAGCAACCUCUCACGCUGCUCAAAUGUAAAAGCCGAGCUGCUAAGAGAAGCUUCACCAGAAGCAGCAGACUCACCGGAGUCUAAACCAACCUCGACAGCUUGAACUUUAGGCUGGAGAACCCCUGCCUCGAGUUGGUUCAUUUUAAGGAUGUGUUUCAUAUUUUCUUUAGAUCUUUUAUCCCCCACAUCCAUUUUAAAGUGCUCCGCUAUUUUCACAAGCUGCUCCCGUGAACAGCGGUCCAGCAACUCCUCUGACGGAGCUCUCAGAAAAUCCUCCACUGAGGCCAUUACUCUGCACCGACCGAAAAAACCACAGUGAAAAUCAACCGGCUUAAUCAGCUGCUCUGACACCAACCCCCUGCAGCUCAAACAGCUGAACCAUCACUGUUGCUCCGUCCCUCUAACUGCCUCAACAGAAUCUAACUACUCUCCCCCCUCGUCUUCAGGCGGUACUUGUGGCGGGUAUUUAUGCACCAGCUCCCAUAGGCCCGGUGAAUAGGGUUGCCACCUUUCAGAAAUGAAAAUAAAGGACGCCCACCACGGCUCCUUGGGGCCACAGUUCAGUGAAAUCGGAAAGAUAUUCACAGAUUCAGAAUUCCACCAUCAAUAACUCAUUAUAAACGAUGCCUCUUUUCCAUUGUUGUAAGGUAGACAAAGUGCUACAAGCCUAGUUUUAUCAACAGUAGCUGUCUUUCAAGCUGCAGAAAUAACAUUGGUGUCAACAGGAGCCAGUUGAAGGCUGCAGUGAUUUUGGUGACACUACAGUGUAUUGAAUAUUUGUGUCUCUCUUUGCUGUUGCAGCAGUUUUGCAGUUUGCAGACGGACCCUGUUCACUCCAUAGACAUCAAUG
ensembl:lncRNA